rnacentral:rRNA from 1 species
UACGGGGGGGGCAAGCGUUGUUCGGAAUUACUGGGCGUAAAGGGCUCGUAGGCGGCCAACUAAGUCGGAUGUGAAAUCCCCAGGCUUAACCUGGGAACUGCGUCCGAUACUGGCAGGCUUGAAUCCGGGAGAGGGAUGCGGAAUUCCAGGUGUAGCGGUGAAAUGCGUAGAUAUCUGGAGGAACACCGGUGGCGAAGGCGGCAUCCUGGACCGGCAUUGACGCUGAGGCGCGAAAGCCAGGGGAGCAAACGGG